ACUCCUACGGGAGGCAGCAGUGAGGAAUAUUGGUCAAUGGAGGGAACUCUGAACCAGCCAUCCCGCGUGUAGGAAGACGGCCUUAUGGGUUGUAAACUACUUUAUACAGGAGAAACGUACCCUCGUGAGGGUGCCUGACGGUACUGUAGGAAUAAGCACCGGCUAACUCCGUGCCAGCAGCCGCGGUAAUACGGAGGGUGCGAGCGUUAUCCGGAUUUAUUGGGUUUAAAGGUCCGUAGGCGGAUUAAUAAGUCAGUGGUGAAAUCCCAUCGCUUAACGAUGGAACUGCCAUUGAUACUGUUAGUCUUGAAUGAGGGUGCAGUGGUUGGAAU
rnacentral:rRNA from 1 species